AAACUACUCCCUCCGUCCCAAAAUUCUUGUCUUAAAUUUGUCUAAAUACGGAUAUACCUAGUUAAGUUCUAAUGUUAGAUAUAUCCGUAUCUAGACAAAUCAAAGACAAGAAUUUUGGGACGGAGGGAGUAUGAA
rfam:Triticum aestivum genome assembly, contig: Triticum_aestivum_CS42_TGACv1_scaffold_526672_6DL